UCGAAUCCCCGAACCCGGUUCCGAUAUUUAUUUUUACUCCAGUGUUCUACUCACAAACUGCAGUGCAAAAGCAGCUAAGGCAAUCCUAAUGUUGCAUCACCUCGCAGGUGCAAGCCGCUUCGCAGUUCUUUCCACCCCUGGGAUAUCACACAUCGCCGUUCCAUGCUUCGCCGACUGCUGGUGUCUACAACAUACCUCACUUCUAUCCGAGUCAAAACAGCCUUGGGUUUGCCUUCCGCGGAAGUCAUGCCAGGACCCCCAGUCACGUCUCCUCCGGGAGUUGCCGAGACACUUCCUGUUCCUCUGACGACUGUUGUAUUGAGACGAACGGCGGGAAUCUCUGUGUGCCCCUUGCGCCUACAACUGGCACUGCGCAGCGAGAAUGUGUACGCCAGAAACAAUGCAGAAGGAAUCAGGAAUGCCCAACUAACUUUUGCUGCGUAUUCGACUUUCUGACGUCAACAGCAGGGUCCACCUGCAAUCCUCGCUCACGGUACACUACCCCAAGGCCGACACUGUACCACACCCACAGCGCUGGGCCCCCAUCUACGUCAUCACCGUCACCUCUACCUGGUCUGUGUGUUGCUAGAGUACAGAUUGUUGGUGGCCUGUGCUAUCGUCCCCUCCCGGGACAGGACACACCUUCCUGCUCUUGUGACUCCAGCGUUGCCUCUAUCGCGUGUACAUUUAGUACUCAAGGAUCAAUCGCAGGCAUUUGCACACCCACAAUUUAACCACAUUUGUGAAAACUAUUUUUGCCUUUGAAAGUUCAGUGAUUAUAAAAACGUGUUUGGCUAAAUUAUCAAAAUAGGCCUACUGUUUGGUUCCAUUAGAUCAAUUUGAAUAAAUAUUGCAAAUUUGCGAAGAAAGGAA